GUUGUUUCCCCAGCCAAACUGCCUUCAGCUCCUGCUCUGUCUAUUAUACUUGGCACAGAAAGGGAUGAAAAAGAAUGAAUCUUGGAAGAGAAACCAAAGCCUGCAAUAAGCUGUACUCUGAAUUACCCUGUAGCAUGCUGACUGGGAACAAGAAGACUUGCCAUGCUGAUACAUACAGCUGAAAAUUGGGUUUGCCAUGUACGGUGGUGUUAAAUGAAAACCUUUCACUGCAUCCCUCACAGCCUGCCACUGUGCUGUGCCCUUCAUGAACACUCCACUGCUUAUUGGCACAGGUAUAAAAAUGUUCUUUGGAUGACAGACAGCUCAGUAAGGUACUCACUUCUGUGCCUGUCUUCAGAUUGGGAGAUACAUCAAUGCACUGCAGGACAGUUUGGAGAUCAAAGCAAGCCCAACUCCUGGAUCUGUGCCCAGGCUAACCUGAGGAAAGGGGUAGGAGUGUUGUCCUGCCCACACAUUCAUUCCCCCAGUGCUACCUAACUGAUUAGUAAAUCAUGAUUUUUAAUCUCAAAACCCUGUCUGGCUUUUUGCCACUAUGAUAUAUAUUGAUGCUCCUAUUCAUUCCGUUAUUCUGCUAUUAUUUGAGCUUCUAUCAAUGUAUUUAUUAUGGGAUUCUCUCAGGAAACAGUUUUAAAAAGUUGUCUUACACUGGUCUUCAUCCUCUGGUACCAGAACUCAAGCUAGGGGAUGAUACAGUUACCACAUAAACUAUUUCAUCCCUGACAUCUGAUAGGAGAGGAAUUCCUCUGUGGAAACUUCUCCAUGUUCCUCCACAGCAAAAUCACAAAGCUUUUAGUUUUUCUGAACAUUCUUUCUGCAUGUUUAUUGUUUACUGAGCCUACAGACUCCAGCAAGCUUCCUGCUUCACAUGUUUGACACAGGACUUUAGGGAUUUUAUUUUUUUUUUUUUUAUUUCUGUAAGUUUCUCCAACUCUUUUGACCUUUCUUAUUGCAUUUUCCCCUAUAAAAUGCCUGGGUUUAUGAGCCUAUCUGCUUUCCUCCUUUGUCAAGCCUCAGCUACUUGAAAAAUGCCUUCUUGCUCUUAGUAUAUUUUACCUGCUGUUUAGCCAUUUCAGUUUCUUUGUGCUUUUUCUGUUUGGUUGAUUUGGCUUUUUUCUUGUUUGUUUCCUCAAAUCCAUGGAUAAUUCAGUCCUAAUGUAGCGUUUUUCCUACUGAGGCCUACUAUCUGAGUUGCUGACAUGGCUAGUUUAGGGAUCUAAUUUGGUUCCAAGCCUUCAUGAGCACAAAGCACCACUCCUCCACCAGUCCUUGACUGUCUUUCCUUACACCGUGCUCCUUGGUCGUCCCUCCUCCCUCUCUGAGGCUUGCAAGGUUCAAGGUGUGUCAAUACCGUGGCUCAAAGCUGUUUCUUGGGCACCUGAACAGAAACACAUGAUCUCCUGCUCCCACCUCCUACUUGUCUGCAAGUGACUCCAAUGACACACUUAGCACUAACUGUUGAUUACCAUCCUUGAUGGAUUGCUGCUGAUUUCUGCUGACUUUUAAUUUAAGAACAUGGAUUUCACCUCUCAGAGAAUGCAGAAUCUCAGAGCACAUGUGGUUCCUGGAAGGAACUGGUUUAGACUUAAAUCCUUAGACAUCCUUAGAUGUUUUUCUGCGUCCUUUAGGCUUAGCCCAGUUUUACAAAGUUUGUGUCAUAAUCCUUAGGGACAUGAGGGAUAACUUCAUCUUGUCCUGCAUGCAUUGCUUGUACAAAUCAUAUCUAUAAAAUCUUCUCUCAUCUCCUGUUUAAAUGAGAAAGGGGUAAAGAGCAGAGAUCUUACCAGACUGCUUAGUUCUUAUCAAAGACCACUACAUACACUUAUAUUCUCAUUCAUCCACUGGUAAUAAACUCAUAUCACACAGAUAGAUCUAAAGGCA
ensembl:lncRNA